UCAAGAGUUACGGUAUUCCUCAAGUUCAUUUCCGUUCACCAAGGAGCAGAUAGAUCAAUUAUACAAACUUCUUGAAUCUCAAACCCUUCUAGCUCCAUGGUUCAAAAAGAUUUCGGAGAAGAUGAUUGGCAAUGCUAAGCAAAGUGGUGGACUCUACUAUCUUGAAGAUAGACCUAAAAACAGACACCAAUCUGGACCCAUAGGUUCUUCAGUUGUAUCUUUUUUUUUGUUUCAAAUAAUAAAGAUGAUAUUAUGUUGUGGCAUUUGAGGUUAGGCCACCCUAGUUUUAAAUAAUUGUUAAUCAAGAUAUAAAACUUUUUGUUAAUCAAGAUAUUCAAAUAAUAAAACAUUUUGUUAAUCAA